UACAGGGGGUGCAAACGUUGCUCGGAAUCAUUGGGCGUAAAGCGCACGUAGGCGGUUCGUUAUGUCGGAUGUGAAAGCCCUUGGCUUAACCGAGGAAGUGCAUCCGAAACUGGCGAGCUAGAGUACGAAAGAGGAUCGCGGAAUUCCCGGUGUAGAGGUGAAAUUCGUAGAUAUCGGGAGGAACACCGGUGGCGAAGGCGGCGACCUGGGUAGAUACUGACGCUGAGGUGCGAAAGCGUGGGGAGCAAACAGG
rnacentral:rRNA from 1 species